AACGAACGCUGGCGGCAGGCUUAACACAUGCAAGUCGAGCGCCCCGCAAGGGGAGCGGCAGACGGGUGAGUAACGCGUGGGAAUCUACCCAUCUCUACGGAAUAACGCAUGGAAACGUGUGCUAAUACCGUAUACGUCCUUCGGGAGAAAGAUUUAUCGGAGAUGGAUGAGCCCGCGUUGGAUUAGCUAGUUGGUGGGGUAAAGGCCUACCAAGGCGUCGAUCCAUAGCUGGUCUGAGAGGAUGAUCAGCCACACUGGGUCUGAGACACGGCCCAGACUCCUACGGGAGGCAGCAGUGGGGAAUAUUGGACAAUGGGCGCAAGCCUGAUCCAGCCAUGCCGCGUGAGUGAUGAAGGCCCUAGGGUUGUAAAGCUCUUUCACCGGUGAAGAUAAUGACGGUAACCGGAGAAGAAGCCCCGGCUAACUUCGUGCCAGCCGCCGCAGUAACAC
rnacentral:rRNA from 1 species